UACGUAGGGACCAAGCGUUUGUUCGGAAUUACUGGGCGUAAAGCGCGCGUAGGCGGCUUUUUCAAGUCGGAUGUGAAAUCCCCCGGGCUUAACCUGGGAACUGCAUUCGAGACUGUCUAGCUAGAGUAUGGGAGAGGGAAGUGGAAUUUCAGGUGUAGCGGUGAAAUGCGUAGAUAUCUGAAGGAACAUCAGUGGCGAAAGCGACUUCCUGGACCAAUACUGACGCUCAUGUGCGAAAGCGUGGGGAGCAAACAGG
rnacentral:rRNA from 1 species